GAGAGGACUAAACCAGGCACAAUUAUCCAUUUUGGGCACAGCUGUUGGCUAUACACUCAGAAAUCCGGUGGCCAAAAUUGCCUCAAGAUACCAAAUUGUUUCUGAGGAUGGCAAGAUUUAAUUAGCAUUCUGAAAUUUCCUUGAAACACCCAAGAAUGGUUAGUAUGCCAGGGGAAGAAAGCAGGAUCAUAAUCCAAGGCCAAAGAGGACUUUGUUUACAGCUGCCCUGACCAUAUUCACAGGCAGUUUGCUUGCUCAAGCCAACAGAAUGAGGAAGUGAAUAUUAUGUCAUUUCUGAGCCUUGACUUCAAAAGGCCUUGUGUUAAUCCUGCCCAGCUGGUAAAUGAAUACGUGUGGCCAAGUGGCCUCCUGUCUAUAGUGACAGCCAGACCACUGGGGAGAUAUAAGGGAAGCCAUACUAGACCAACAAGGACUCAGGGCCAGCCAACUGCCUUUGAUGAGCAAGUCUGGCCCAAACUGGAUCAUGUGAGCACAGCUAUACAGCUGAAGAGUGAAUUCAGCAAUGAGAAGAAAUCCUCAUUAUUUUAUACUUCUGUGUUGAAGGUACUAUUUGUUAUGGAGCAUUAACUUAUGGCUAUAAAUAUUUAUUAUUUGAAUGACUUCAUAAUUUACUAAGGUGACACCAUUUUUCAUUUCCCCCAUCUCC